rnacentral:rRNA from 1 species
CCUACGGGGGGCAGCAGUGGGGAAUAUUGCACAAUGGGGGAAACCCUGAUGCAGCAACGCCGCGUGAGUGAGGAAGUAUUUCGGUAUGUAAAGCUCUAUCAGCAGGGAAUAGAAAAGAAGGUACCUGAAAAAGAAGCCCCGGCUAACUACGUGCCAGCAGCCGCGGUAAUACGUAGGGGGCAAGCGUUAUCCGGAUUUACUGGGUGUAAAGGGAGCGUAGACGGCAGUGCAAGUCUGGAGUGAAAGGCGGGGGCUCAACCCCCGGACUGCUCUGGAAACUGUACGGCUGGAGUGCAGGAGAGGUAAGUGGAAUUCCUAGUGUAGCGGUGAAAUGCGUAGAUAUUAGGAGGAACACCAGUGGCGAAGGCGGCUUACUGGACUGUAACUGACGUUGAGGCUCGAAAGCGUGGGGAGCAAACAGGAUUAGAUACCCUAGUAGUC